UCUGGUUGAUCCUGCCAGUAGUCAUAUGCUUGUCUCAAAGAUUAAGCCAUGCAUGUCUAAGUAUAAAUAGUAUACAGUGAAACUGCGAAUGGCUCAUUAAAACAGUUAUAGUUUAUUUGAUAAUUGACAAUUACAUGGAUAACCGUGGUAAUUCUAGAGCUAAUACAUGCUUAAACGCCCGACUUUAUGGAAGGGUGGUAUUUAUUAGACUGAAGCCAAUAUUCCUUGUGUCUAUUGCGGUGAUUCAUAAUAACUGAUCGAAUCUCUUUUUGAGAUAAAUCAUUCAAGUUUCUGCCCUAUCAGCUUUCGAUGGUAGUGUAUUGGACUACCAUGGCAGUAACGGGUAACGAAGAAUUAGGGUUCGAUUUCGGAGAGGGAGCAUGAGAAACGGCUACCACAUCUAAGGAAGGCAGCAGGCGCGUAAAUUACCCAAUCCUGACUCAGGGAGGUAGUGACAAGAAAUAGCAAACCGGGAACCUCAUGGUUUCACGGUAUUGCAAUGAGAACAAUUUAAAACCCUUAGCGAGAAUCAAGUGGAGGACAAGUCUGGUGCUAGCACCCGCGGUAAUUCCAGCUCCACUAGCGUAUAUUAAAGUUGUUGCAGUUAAAAAGCUCGUAGUUGAACCUCUGUCUGGGGCUAGUUUUGGCUUUGGUCAGGCUAGUUCUAGGCAUCCGCCUACAAGACUUAGAGGGCAUUCAGUUGUUCACUAGGAGGAGUAGGCAUUUUACUUUGAAAAAAUUAGAGUGUUUAAGGCAGGCAAUCGCCCGCAUAUAUUAGCAUGGAAUAAUAGAAUAGGACACUUUUCCAUUUCGUUGGUUAUUGGAAUCGUGUAAUGAUUAAUAGGGACAGUUGUGGGCAUUUGUAUUUAAUUGUCAGAGGUGAAAUUCUUGGAUUUAUUAAAGACAAACUAACGCGAAAGCAUUUGCCAAGGAUGUUUUCAUUAAUCAAGAACGAAAGUUAGGGGAUCAAAGACGAUCAGAUACCGUCCUAGUCUUAACUAUAAACUAUUCCGACUCAAUGUUUGACUGGCUUAUAUAACCAGUUGAGCGUUGUAUGAGAAAUCAAAGUCUUUAGGUUCUGGGGGGAGUAUGGUUGCAAAGCUGAAACUUAAAGGAAUUGACGGAAGAGCACAACCAGGAGUGGAUUCUGCGGCUUAAUUUGACUCAACACGGGGAAACUUACCAGGUUAAAACAAUAGUGGAUUGACAGUUUGAGAGCGCUUUCUUGAUUGGUUGGGUGGUGGUGCAUGGCCGUUCUUAGUUGGUGGAGUGA
rnacentral:rRNA from 1 species